rnacentral:ncRNA from 1 species
UCGCACGUACGGUUCUUGGAGGGGGAAAGCCUGAGAGGGCCUACCUAUCUCGACUAUUUAAUUCGAUGAUCCUCGAAAAACCUUACCACAAUUUGAAUGUUAAUUAAUAAAUUAACACAGGCGUUGCAUGGCUGUCUUCAGUUAAUGUCGUGAGAUUUGGUUAGAUCCAAAAAAUUAUCGUAAACCCUUGUUCUUUAUUUGUUUGAAUAAUGCAGUUAACCGCUAUAUUGGAUUAUAUAACAGGGACUAAGACAAGUCAUCAUGGCCUUAACAUUGUGGGCUAUAGACGUGCCACAUAUGCCUUUACAAAGGGAUGCAAAAGUGUGAACUUGAGCUAACCCCUAAAACAGGAUAAAAUAUUAAUUGUAGUCUGAAACUCGACUACAUGAAAAAGGAAUUACUAGUAAUCGUGUGUAAUCACAGCACGGUGAAUUUAAUCUCAGCUAGGUACUAACCACUCGUCAGGCGCUGAAAGGGGUAUGUGCAAUAAGUUUGGUUAUUGUUAAUUUUUAAUAUAGGUAAUUGGACUUAUAUUUAUUAACGAAUAAUCUUCGUAUGCGUGACCCUGAUUGGUGUUAAGUCGAAAUACGGUUCGAGUAGGGGAACUUGCUCGGG